rnacentral:rRNA from 1 species
GAGUUUGAUCAUGGCUCAGAUUGAACGCUGGCGGAAUGCUUUACACAUGACAAGUCGAGCGGCAGCGCGGGGCAACCUGGCGGCGAGCGGCGAACGGGUGAGUAAUGCAUCGGAACAUGUCCAUGUCGUGGGGGAUAGCCCGGCGAAAGCCGGAUUAAUACCGCAUACGCCCGAGAGGGGAAAGUGGGGGACCGCAAGGCCUCACGCGAUUGGGUUGGCCGAUGUCCGAUUAGCUAGUUGGCGGGGUAAUGGCCCACCAAGGCGAUGAUCGGUAGCUGGUCUGAGAGGAUGAUCAGCCACACUGGAACUGAGACACGGUCCAGACUCCUACGGGAGGCAGCAGUGGGGAAUAUUGGACAAUGGGCGCAAGCCUGAUCCAGCCAUGCCGCGUGAGUGAAGAAGGCC